GAUGAAGAACGCAGCGAAAUGCGAUAAGUAAUGUGAAUUGCAGAAUUCAGUGAAUCAUCGAAUCUUUGAACGCACAUUGCGCCCGCCAGUAUUCUGGCGGGCAUGUCUGUUCGAGCGUCAUUUCAACCAUCAAGCCCCAGGCUUGUGUUGGGGACCUGCGGCUGCCGCAGGCCCUGAAAACCAGUGGCGGGCUCGCUGUCACACCGGGCGUAGUAGAUUUUAUCUCGCUCAGGGCGUGCUGCGGGUCCCGGCCGUUAAAAGCCUUUUUUUACCCAAGGUUGACCUCGGAUCAGGUAGGAAGACCCGCUGAACUUAAGCAUAUCAAUAAGCGGAGGA
rnacentral:misc_RNA from 1 species